AUUAGGAAUAACAAAAAAGGUAGGGAAGUAAAUGGGUACUUGAAAUUUUAUUCGAAUCUAAAUCUGAACAGAGCGUAUUUAUCUGUUACUAAAUGAUAUGGUUUCGGAUAUGUACAUCAAAAAUAAAAAUCCAACGGAUAUAAAUACGGAUAUGGAUGUUGACUGUUCCUGACCGGAGUCCAAACCCGACCCAAACUCAAUACGAACCCGAAUUUAUUUUGAAUUACAUAUAAUAUGUAUAUAAAAAUUUGAUAUUAUAUUUAAAUUUAUAUUUUAAAAAUUUAGAUUUAAUAUAUACAAUAUAUUUUGAAAUAUUAAAAAGAAAAAUAAUUGUUUCGGAUUCGAAUUCGGAUUCAAAUUCGGAUUUCGGGUUUGGAGUCGGUUCGAAUUUUUAAAAAUUUG
rnacentral:lncRNA from 1 species